rnacentral:rRNA from 1 species
UACGUAGGGGGCUAGCGUUGUCCGGAAUCAUUGGGCGUAAAGAGCGUGUAGGCGGCCCGGUAAGUCCGCUGUGAAAGUCGGGGGCUCAACCCUCGAAUGCCGGUGGAUACUGUCGGGCUAGAGUGCGGAAGGGGCAACUGGAAUUCCCAGUGUAGCGGUGAAAUGCGUAGAUAUUGGGAAGAACACCUGAGGCGAAGGCGGGUUGCUGGGCCGACACUGACGCUGAGGCGCGAAAGCCAGGGGAGCGAACGGG